rnacentral:rRNA from 1 species
UGGGGGAUAUUGCACAAUGGGCGAAAGCCUGAUGCAGCGACGCCGCGUGGGGGAUGAAGGCCUUCGGGUUGUAAACUUCUUUUGCUCUGAACAAGGCAUGCUAAUGGGUGUGUUGAGUGUAGGGGUUGAUUAGCGCCGGCUAACUACGUGCCAGCAGCCGCGGUAAUACGUAGGGCGCGAGCGUUGUCCGGAAUUAUGGGGCGUAAAGGGCUUGUAGGUGGCUGGUUGCGUCUGUCGUGAAAGCUCAUGGCUUAACUGUGGGUUUGCGGUGGGUACGGGCUGGCUUGAGUGCAGUAGGGGAGGCUGGAAUUCCUGGUGUAGCGGUGGAAUGCGCAGAUAUCAGGAGGAAUACCGGUGGCGAAGGCGGGUCUCUGGGCUGUUACUGACACUGAGGAGCGAAAGCAUGGGGAGCGAACAGG